UACGUAGGGUGCGAGCGUUAAUCGGAUUUACUGGGCGUAAAGCGUGCGCAGGCGGCCCGUUAAGACAGGUGUGAAAUCCCUGGGCUCAACCUAGGAAUUGCGCUUUUGACUGGCGGGCUCGAGUACGGUAGAGGGGGGUGGAAUUCCUGGUGUAGCAGUGAAAUGCGUAGAGAUCAGGAGGAACACCGAUGGCGAAGGCAGCCCCCUGGGCCUGUACUGACGCUCAUGCACGAAAGCGUGGGGAGCAAACAGG
rnacentral:rRNA from 1 species